AUUGUGGAGUGGAUCAUCUUGGGUGCGUUCAAGCUCCUGGCUGGGAGCUGCGUGUCCGUGUUUAUGCCUCCCACACGUGUAGGGGAUGCCAAGGGCAGCAUUGAGGUGGACUGGUGUCCCAAUCCUGCUGCCAAUCCGGAAGAGUACCGGCAGCUCAACGUGAAUGUGUAUCGGCCACCGGCAUUUGAGAAAGGAUACAAGUUGGCAGAGCUGGGAGCGCUGAAAUCGGGCAAGCUUGGACCAUACUACGAUGGAGGAUUGCGCUGCCCCUUCCAGCAAAUGCAUGCAUAAUACAAUCGUCACUACAAGACUAAUAAACUUCCGCCAACCUCAACGUCUCACUCCCACAAAUAGUGCUUGUUUUGUGUUUUUGUAAAUUGGUAGAGGCGCCGGGCCGCGAUCAGAUCUGCGCGUUUCGCAUCCUGUCGCCAAUUUGGAGGGAAUGCGCCUCGCAGCGAUCGAUCUAGAACAAGGCGUCACUCGCUAAGGCUGUUGCGGCAAUGGUACGUUUGCUGCGAUUGAUUGGAUUCCAUCGCUUCCUGCUGGUCGGAUUGACGGAUUUCGAGGGGUGGAAGCUGUAGCUAGCAGAUCCACGACUGGGAAAAUUUCGAGCUGGUUGCGUGCUUGGAUUAGCAUUGGCUGCAAACGGCUAGAGCACCUUAACAGGCGAGCCACUGUCCGUUAAGAGCAUGAUAGUAGAAGAGCAACUUGAUGUCUUUCUUUCCACAGGUGCCAAGUACAGAAAUUUGAGGCAGCGAACUUGUCAAAAAACAGAUAAUUGCUGCAGGUGAAUUCUCUGACUCUAGCCAAAAGUGUCAACCACGUCUAUGUGUUCAACCAAUAUCAGGUUGCCACAAAAUUGAGAUAAGAACUUCAUCAAAUCUCGCACUCAAUUUUGGAGGUCUUCACGGUUGAACCUUAUUUGUAGGAAUGUCGGGCCUCUCCUCUUUUCCAUCCAAAGAAUCACUGCUGUGAAACUGAGGUUCUCUCCCUCUCUAGGCUGAUCGUGAGCCUGGAGCAGCAAAGAUGAGCUUUCAUAACUUUCCAGUCCCCAUCACCAAUGUAUCCCCAUUGCCUAGCCAGUGCGCUAUUCACCUUAUAUCCAUUUUCAUAGUGGAUCAAACUAAAUUGUUUCAGUUAAACCGCCAGAUUUUCUCUCAGCUCCUUAACAUCCUCACUGCUCGGUUAGAACAUGCUCUUAUGGUACAGCCUAAUGAGGAUAAGAAGAUUACGUAGAUCUCGUACAAUCUGAUAAUUGCCAUCUACUUCCUCAACCGAUGCAAAAGCCAUGCCACAUAGAGCCAUAUCGAUUGUAUCAGAUCUUCGUCUUAAACUCGUUGAGUUGCAGUGCAGCAUCCAUUGUUUCAAUACAUACAGCACACUGCUUUCUACUAUUUAAUGCUGCUUCAGCUUCUAUAAUGGUCCUUGUAACCUUGUGUAUGUCUGGUGCAGAAAGCUGAACAGCAACAUAAGCUAGACUUGGUGCUAUUUUGUCUGACCAAGUAUCCUUGACCUUGUAUGCUACCCAUGAUCAGCUUGAAUGGGACCGCAAAGCAUACGAGGCAAGCACGAGUUGUAGCACGGGCCAGUUCAAAGAAUAUCACAUAGCACAUCAAUUCAUAGCCUUCCAGCAUCUUAGCCAGUAUUGCACCAUGUGUUCGUGGUUAUGCACAUCCUCCAAGGGCGUUCCUUCCAUUAGAACGUGAAAAAACUGUAGUAAGUCAUGGAACCACUCCCACUGGAAAAUCUUGCUUGCCAUGAAAUGUGUACUGAUUGCUAAGUAGAUGCCAAGAGUUUAAAGAUACCUUAAAAGACAGCUAAUUGGAGCAUCCGGAGGUGUUGCUGGAAUCGAUCGCGAUCGCUGGAAGCGCAGAGAAGAGAUCGAUCGCGUCAAGAUAUCAAUUCACAUUGUGGCCAGUCAUCCGCAAGAACAGGGUUUUUACGUCAAUUCACGCAUUUGCCCACGAAGGGCAUCUUUCGGAGAAAGGAAUCCAUGUCCAAGCUCGACUGCGAUGUCUAUACGAGCAAGGAAAUCUGGAGAGCACUGCACACUAAGAUACAGCAAUAUGAUAAUUGAGUACACUAACUGGAUGAUUGAUUAGAAGAUUGAUGAUCGUAUAGUACGCUAGCAAACCCGUACCUUCUACCCAGAGAAAAGUAUACUGACUAUCGAAGUAUUUCAUGUACUGGAAAACCCCAAGAGCCUGACGCUGUAAGUUGCUUCCGAAUAACAUCUUGUCGACCACCUGGAACAUAUGUUCAGCUUGUUCAUGGUCUGCUCGCUGUGGAUUUUCCUUGUUUCUCCAUAUCCUAAACACUUCAUUUCUCCUAGCUAUACUUACAAAUAUUGCAGAUGUUAGAAGGAUCCAUAAGUCAAGUAAGAGAUGACAUCGAGGCAACCACAUGUACAUGAGGUACUCCCAGAACCGAGAACGGAGACGUAGCAUUUGUGACUUGGUUUCGUUCUUACAUCCACAAAAACGGAUUGUAAGAGCCGCUAAGUAGCUGAGUAGGACAAGCUGUUGUCGGCUCUGUUCGCGUUUGAGACCACUUAAGGCAAGGAGCCCUGCUGCCUCAGUCAAACCCGUAGCAGUGAGGAGGUAUCUCCUUGCAAUAUUUUGAAGAAGUAGACCAGGACCUAAAGAGAAGACUCCCAACUGCAGAUUGAAGUACCUUGCUAGCAUUGUGCAUAUCAAUGUCGUGCAUCCUGCGACUAUAAACUUAUCCCCAAAACUCCCACUGAAACUCUGUUGUAUGCUGAAGAAGAUGAAAGAUAUGUCAUGCCAAAGAUAUGUAUGUGUGUUUUACUUGCGAUGGUUGCUUCGUUCUUACACUCCCUUGGCACAGGCUGCGUGGGAAAUAGAACAGGAAAUCACCCUCGUGAGGGCUUCUCUCGGUCAGGAAGGCGCUGACUACACUGCUGUCCGGGAUGCUUUAGCUGAUGACAUGACUUACUUCCCUCAGAAGAACGGCUACGAGCGUGCGACUCUCGCAAGCACAGCCGAGAGGCUGGCCGCGGCACAAUACGAGUUUGAGGCCGCGAAGAAGCACAUAGAUGGUCACACGAAGAAGGCUCUGAAGCUGGAGCAAAAGAUCUCUGUUCUAACCGGAGGCUACAAGGUACGUUACGUCGUGUUCUUUCUUGGGAGCCUCUCUAACUUGAUUGACUUCCAGACGAGGGGCGACGGGCUGUGGCAGCAGAUCGAGGCGGCUUUCAAGGAGGCGGAGACGCUGGGCACGGAGCUGCAGUGCUAUCGAUCGCUACACCAGCAAGAGCAGCUUAUCGCUCCCCGCCGGAUCGAGGCGCUCCAGGAGGAGGUGAGCGACAAGGAGAGCUUCCUCCAGAUGAGAUACGAGCGGCGCUUGUUUUGCGGGAAUGAUCUGAGGCGACUGGUUGCCGAGCAUGAUGCUCGAGUUGGAUCUGAUCCAACUGUGUAAAUAUUUGUAAUGGUUUAAAUGUCUAGCGAUUGUGCAUCUUUGAUUCCACUUUGAUUUAAUUCUCUUUGGUUUAACUGGAAAGACUUGUUUUUACAAAGCUAGCCCUUCCAGUUCACAACUCUUUUCUUUAAACCAAUGGUCCAACAGUCCAACAAUGAACUUUAUUCUGGUAAACAUCAGGAAUCUCAGUUUUCCUCACAUGGUGUUUGUCUGUAGAAUUUGCGUAGCAUAAAAUAUGAGGUAAUCAGUUUAAGAAAGUUGGAAGGAACCUUCGUUCUAGUGAAAUGAUAUGGUGUUAAACAAAUUAAAGAGACUAAGUCUCGAUGUUCGUGGUAAGAAAUUGCAUGCAAGACGUGAUGUUAAUGUCGGAACCUUCAUUCCACUGAUUGAUAUUGUGCUACAAGGAAAAGAUCAACUUAAUGGGACAAGAAAGACUGUUUACGGAUCGUUUACUUUGGGACCGCGUAGGCUGUUCAUGAAACAUGGUAGAAAUGAAAAACGUGAAAGAUCUCUGUUGGAUCAGUGGCUCAACUCUCACUGGUAUAAAACCAUCUUCUCUCCCUCUAUCAUUCAUUCAUUAGAAGAGAAAGUAGCAUUACUACAGAAACUCUCUCCCUCUCUAAGAUCGAUCGGAUCCAUCACCAAAUACUUUUGCAAAUUUUGAUCUAUGGCAUCCAUGUUGCUCUUGGUCGUGAUCAUGGUGACAGCCGCAGCGCUAUGGAAGAUGGUGUGUAUCCGCAAGAGAGAAGAGAGGGCACGAUUUCUAGCGUCGCUCCACCCCGUGAGAGACGCCCGAAAGAUCUUGUGGUACAUGUACUCCGUGGAAUUCCCCUUCCUGUCGCAAAAGGCGCUCGAGUUUGGCACCAUCCGCACGCUCGGCAUCCCCGGGAUCACAAAUCUGCUCUUCAAGACCAAGUACGGCCUCAAGGAUCCCCAGAAGCGCGCCGCCGAGACCAACAUUCUGGUGAGCGAGAUGAUCCACCACCACGUCGACAGCGAUCGCGGCUCUUACGCAGUGAGGAGAUUGAAUGGAAUCCACAGCAAGUUCAGGAUCCCAAACGACCAAUUCGCAUACGUCCUCUCUCUCAACGUGAUCAGCCCCAUUGAUUUCUCCGAGAGGUUUGGAUUCCGCAAGUGGACCGACAACGAGAAGCAGGCCGCCUAUGUUGUGUGGCACGACGUGGGCGUGAGGAUGGGCAUCACAAACAUCCCGGACAGCAUCCCUGAGAUGCGACAAUACAUUCGCGACUACGAGGCCAAGAACGCCAUCUUCACGGACAAGAACAAGAGCAUCAUCCAGGAUCUCAAGCAUCUGGUGCUGGACGCGUUUCCUCGCCCCUUGCAGCCCCUGGUGGAGACUGGGAUCUGCGCACUCAUCGAUCCCACAAUCAGGAGCGCAGUAGGAUUGGAAAAGCCGCCCGUGAUUGUGGAGUGGAUCAUCUUGGGUGCAUUCAAGCUCCUGGCUGGGAGCUGCGUGUCCGUGUUUAUGCCUCCCAGACGUGUAGGGGAUGCCAAGGGCAGCAUUGAGGUGGACUGGUGUCCCAAUCCUGCUGCCAAUCCGGAAGAGUACCGGCAGCUCAACGUGAAUGUGUAUCGGCCACCGGCAUUUGAGAAAGGAUACAAGUUGGCGGAGCUGGGAGCGCUGAAAUCGGGCAAGCUUGGACCAUACUACGAUGGAGGAUUGCGCUGCCCCUUCCAGCAAAUGCAUGCAUAAUACAAUCGUCACUACAAGACUAAUAAACUUCCGCCAACCUCAACGUCUCACUCCCACAAAUAGUGCUUGUUUUGUGCUGGCUUAAACAUUACUGAAUAAACAAUUUCUUCAGCUAUGACAGGUGGACAUACUCAACUCUAUACUACAACGUUAA
rnacentral:lncRNA from 1 species